CCUACGGGUGGCAGCAGUGAGGAAUAUUGGUCAAUGGACGAGAGUCUGAACCAGCCAAGUAGCGUGAAGGAUGACUGCCCUAUGGGUUGUAAACUUCUUUUAUAUGGGAAUAAAACGUUCCACGUGUGGGUUUUUGUAUGUACCUUAUGAAUAAGGAUCGGCUAACUCCGUGCCAGCAGCCGCGGUAAUACGGAGGAUCCGAGCGUUAUCCGGAUUUAUUGGGUUUAAAGGGAGCGUAGAUGGAUUGUUAAGUCAGUUGUGAAAGUUUGCGGCUCAACCGUAAAAUUGCAGUUGAUACUGGCAGUAUUGAGUACAGUAGAGGUAGGCGGAAUUCGUGGUGUAGCGGUGAAAUGCUUAGAUAUCACGAAGAACUCCGAUUGCGAAGGCAGCUCACUGAACUGCAACUGACACUGAGGCUCGAAAGUGUGGGUAUCAAACAGGAUUAGAUACCCGAGUAGUC
rnacentral:rRNA from 1 species